rnacentral:tRNA from 1 species
GCCCUGAUGGUCUAGCGGUAUGAUUCUCCCUUAGGGUUGUCUACGACAUCUCAAUUCUCGAAUGGGAGAGGUCCCAGGUUCGAUCCCUGGUUAGGGCC